UACGUAGGGACCGAGCGUUGUCCGGAUUCAUUGGGCGUAAAGAGCUCGUAGGCGGCUGUUCAAGUCGAACGUGAAAACUCGGAGCUCAACUCCGAGCCUGCGUUCGAGACUGGAUGGCUAGAGUGCGGUAGGGGAGACUGGAAUUCCUGGUGUAGCGGUGAAAUGCGCAGAUAUCAGGAGGAACACCGGUGGCGAAGGCGGUUCUCUGGGCCUUACCUGACACUGAGGAGCGAAAGCGUGGGGAGCGAACAGG
rnacentral:rRNA from 1 species